AGUGAACGCUGGCGGUAGGCCUAACACAUGCCAGUCGAACGGCAGCACAGUAAGAGCUUGCUCUUACGGGUGGCGAGUGGCGGACGGGUGAGGAAUACAUCGGAAUCUACUUUUUCGUGGGGGAUAACGUAGGGAAACUUACGCUAAUACCGCAUAUGACCUACGGGUUAAAGCAGGGGAUCUUCGGACCUUUCGCGAUUGAAUGAGCCGAGGUCGGAUUAGCUAGUUGGGGGGGUAAAGGCCCACCAAGGCGACGAUCCGUAGCUGGUCUGAGAGGAGGAUCAGCCACACUGGAACUGAGAAACGGUCCAGACUCCUACGGGGGGCAGCAGUGGGGAAUAUUGGACAAUGGGCGCAAGCCUGAUCCAGCCAUACCGCGUGGGUGAAGAAGGCCUUCGGGUUGUAAAGACCUUUUGUUGGGAAAGAAAAGCAGCAGGUUAAUACCCCGCUGUUCUGACGGUACCCAAAGAAUAAGCACCGGCUAACUUCGUGC
rnacentral:rRNA from 1 species